rnacentral:rRNA from 1 species
UGAGUACGAGAUGCUACGGCAUCGAAGCAGUCUAUGUCAUACUUCCAAGAAAAGCUUGCAAUGUCAUAAACAAAUAAUGCCUGUACCAUAACCGACACAGGUGGGUAGGUAGAGUAUACUAAGGGGCGCGAGAUAACUCUCUCUAAGGAACUCGGCAAAAUGACUCCGUAACUUCGGGAGAAGGAGUGCCUUAUUUUUAUAAGGUUGCAAUAACAAGAUCCAAGCAACUGUUUACCAAAAACACAGGUCUCCGCUAAGUCGUAAGACGAUGUAUGGGGGCUGACGCCUGCCCAGUGCCAGAAGGUUAAAGAAGUUGGUUAGCAUUAGCGAAGCUGAUAACUGAAGCCCUGGUGAACGGCGGCCGUAACUAUAACGGUCCUAAGGUAGCGAAGUUCCUUGUCGGGUAAGUUCCGACCCGCACGAAAGGCGUAAUGAUUUGGAUACUGUCUCGGAGAGGGGCUCGGUGAAAUAGACUUGUCUGUGAAGAUGCGGACUACCUGCACCUGGACAGAAAGACCCUAUGAAGCUUUACUGUAACUUGAGAUUGAAAUUGGACUUUAUCUGCGCAGUAUAGGUGGGAGACGUUGAAAAUAUUCUUGCGGGAAUAUUGGAGUCAUCAGUGAGAUACCACUCUUAUAAUGUUAGAUUUCUAACUUUGUAUCAUUAUCUGGUCAAAGAACAGUUUCAGGCGGGCAGUUUGACUGGGGCGGUCGCCUCCCAAACGGUAACGGAGGCGCACAAAGGUUUCCUCUGAACGUGUAGAAAUCGUAUCUAGAGUGUAAAGGCAUAAGGAAGCUUGACUGUGAGACCUACAAGUCGAGCAGGGACGAAAGUCGGUCUUAGUGAUCUGACGGUGCUGAGUGGAAAGGCCGUCACUCAACGGAUAAAAGUUACUCUAGGAUAACAGGCUGAUCUCCCCCAAGAGUUCACAUCGACGGGGAGGUUUGGCACCUCGAUGUCGGCUCAUCGCAUCCUGGGGCGGUAGUACGUCCCAAGGGUUGGGCUGUUCGCCCAUGAAAGCGGUACGCGAGCUGGGUUCAGAACGUCGUGAGACAGUUCGGUCCAUAUCCGGUGUAGGCGUUAGAAUAUUGAGAGGAGCCUUCUUUAGUACGAGAGGACCGAGAAGGACAUACCUCUGGUGUACCAGUUAUCGUGCCAACGGUAAACGCUGGGUAGCCAUGUAUGGAGAGGAUAACCGCUGAAAGCAUCUAAGUGGGAAGCCCACCUCAAGAUAAG